rnacentral:rRNA from 1 species
CCCGGGCCUUGUACACACCGCCCGUCGCACCAUGGGAGUGGGUUGUACCAGAAGCAGGUAGUUUAACCGAAAGGGGACGUCUGCCACGGUAUGGUUCAUGACUGGGGUG